rnacentral:rRNA from 1 species
CGCGUAGGCGGCCGAGUCAGUCGGAUGUGAAAGCCCCGGGCUCAACCUGGGAACUGCAUUCGAUACUGCUUGGCUAGAGUUUGGUAGAGGGUGGCGGAAUUCCUGGUGUAGCGGUGAAAUGCGUAGAUAUCAGGAGGAACAUCAGUGGCGAAGGCGGCUGCCUGGACCAAAACUGACGCUGAGGUGCGAAAGCGUGGGGAGCAAACA